UAUGGCUGGGGAGGCCUCAGGAAACUUACAAUCAUGACAGAAGGAGAAGGGAAAGCAGACACAUCUUUUAUGGCCUGAGAAGGAAGAAGAGAAAGAAGGGUAUGAAAUAAUUUCCUAUUGAAGUCAUCUUAACAUGGAACCAGAAUUAAAUCCUAACAACAAUCAUGUGAGCCUGGGGAGGAUCCUUCCCCACGUGAGCCUUCAGGGGAGACUUCAGCCUUGGCCAUCUUCUACAUCUAGAUUCCUGACCAAGAGAAGCUUUGGAGUUUGCUGUUUCGCCCAGGCUGGAGUGAAGUGGCGAGAUCUCCCCUCACUGCAACCUCCGCCCCCGGGGUUCAAGUGAUUCUCCUGCCUCAGCCACCACCAUUUAACACUGAGAAGUGGGCAGUCACAGAGAAAAAGUUUAGAAUAGUUCACCAGUGAAGUCAUCUCAACCAGCACAGGGCCUUGACUCCUAACAACAAUCACACGAACUUGGAAGAGGAGCCUUCCCCAACUGAACCUUCGCUUGAGACCUCGUCCUUGGCCAUCCUCUACAUCUGGAUUCAUGAUACAGAGAAACUUGAGUAAUGAUGACACUAGCAGUCCAGCCUGCAUGGAUGCUGACAUGGAUGCUGUCUCCCAUUCUUACCACUGGAUGGGAAGAAAUGCUAGAUGCAAUCCAGCCAGUCUGUACUCGACUGUCAGUUCCAUCUUCUCAACUCACAGUGUCUUCCAAAGUCCGUGCCACACCACAGCCUGGAACAUCUCCCAAGGUUUCAAAUAAUUCAUCAGUGAAUUCUUCUCAACCUGGUCAAUCAUGUGAACUUAGAAGAUGAUUCCUCCCCAGCUGAUCCUCAGGUGAGACAUCAGCCUUGGCCAUCAUCUACAUCUGGAUUCCUGACCCAGAGAAACUGGAACACUAAGACCCAUUCUUCUUCUCAAGUAUCCAAAAAUAAAGUUGAUCCAAGCCUCUCUGGAUGGUGACUAUAACCUAUAGCCUUGCCCAAUAUGACUCAGGAUUUGGUACUGGCUGUGCCUUUCAUGGGAUGCUUACUUAUCCUGGUCGAUGGCCUAAAGCCCAACCGUCCAGCUUAUAUCCAGAUCCUUUGGCAUUUGAGAGUUGCUUUGUGUAUACGGUCCUUUAACGGAGCAAAUGGCCAGCCAGGAAACCAAAGUAUGGACAAGGGGAAAGAAGCGUCUGUGGAGGAAGUUUUACAAGCGCCCUCCUCAUCCAUUUGGGUGGUGUUGCCCAUAUGCUACAUGUCUGUGGACCACUAUGUGUGUUUAAAGCUUUUUAGUAAAACGUUACUAAAAACUAUGACUCACUGUGGUGAAAAAGGUGGCAAAACAGUGACAACAGUGAGUUUGCUGCUGUUAUUAUCUAUGUGAGUGGUCACGAAAGCACAGGUAGCAGCUGAGGCAAGGGGAGGGAAGCUAGGAAAAGAAUCGCAGUGAGAAAGGGAUGAGAACUUCCAUGUCUGUGUUAAUGUCUGGUUUUAUGAUAAACUUGAAACUCAAGAGGCACAGUUGGAAAUUGUACCUUGCCACUUUGUGUGGCUGAGAGAGAGAAAGCUGUGCCAGCUGAAUGUGUGGACUGUCUUUGCCAGUGCAGGCUGGGAUGCAAAUACCUGUAAUUCUUGGGAAACAACCAGUGAGCCAGAUGAUGACAUAGAGUUUAACUCAGAGGAGGAAGAUCAUUAUCCUUCCCAUUUGAGAGUGAAACUGUUCAUGCAGUGGAAAGCAAAAUUCCAACACACAGAGGCCUGGGUAGGAUUACUGGAUAUAAUAAAAACUUUAAAACAGCUGCCAAGAGAAAGCCUUAUGUACAUGAAUGGUGCAGCUAUGGGACACCAGUAGGGAUGAUAUCUCCCUAAAAGGGAAUGAACCUGAAAAAUUGAGACAGAAGUACCCCGGAAGUGAAAUAACCCCCUUAUGGGAUAAGUUAUAGGGAAAGCCAUUUCAGAUUUCCUAGAAACUCAAAAGGAAAGAGAUUAGGUAUGACUGGUUGCUAAAGGAAAAUGGAAAAAGGGAGAAACAAAGUCUGCUGGACUGAAAAAAGGAGUUUAAAAAAGACACAAUUAAGGUUACUAGGAAACAAAUGUGGUAUGAUCUGAUUUCAGCUGGGAUUGACAAAGAGAAUAUAGAUGGGCAACCCAGUGGCAUAUUAGUGGGGUAUGGAAAGACCUGACUCCUGAUCAAUAGUUUAGACACCUUCUUAUUACCUCCCCCACCCCCCAUGAGAAGAGGGAGAAAGACAGGAAGAAACCUUUGGUAAAAAUUCAGGGGUGCACUUCUUUCCAGCCUGGAGAUCAUAGGUAGGGUCAAGGCUGCUUCUGUGUAAGAGCAAUAGGGGGUGACCAGAGGCCGUAUUUGGAGCUCACUAUUGAUUGGAGUCUAAAACAGCACUAAGAGAACCUUAGCUUUAGUGGGCACAGGUGCAGAAUGUGUCUUAAUUGAUGGAAAUCCAGAGAGACACCCUGGUAAGUGGGAAGCUAUAGAUGGUUGUGAGGGGUUAAAAAUCUGAGAGAAACAAACUCCUCUCCUCCUUAGUUUUGUCUGGAGUUCCCUCUUUGCUUACUCUCCUGUCUUUAUCUCACCUAUUGCAGAAAACAUCUUGAAUAUGGAUGUCUUCUUAGGAUGCACUUUACAAACAUCUGUGGGGGAAUCUCACCUAUGACAAAGGCUGUAUUAAGAUUGGAGGCAAAAUUAGAAGGUGUACACCUCCCUCCCCCACAAUGUAUUGUUAAUGUGAGACAAUACCAUCUUCCUGGUAGAAUAUAAGAAGUCACAGCCGCCAUGGAGAAAUUGGCCAAAGUUAAUAUUAUCUGGCCAGCCCAGAGUCCUUUCAGCCAUCCUGUGUGACCAAUAAUAAAAUCUGAUGGCACUUGGAUAUGACAGUAGAUAAGUGGACACUACUGAUCUUUCUAAGAUACAUGCUCCUUUAUGUAAUGUAACUCAAGUGAUUGAGCAAUUAAUACAAAACAUAGGCACUUAUCAUGCUGUGUUAGAUUUAGCUAAUGCCUUCUUUAGCAUCCCUUUUACCCUGACUUGCAGUCAUUAUAUUGAUGAUACUCUAACUUCUGAAGACUUGUCAUUGCUACAGCAACACGGAGAUGCAUUGACACCCUUCUUCAAUCCAGAGGAUGGGCCAUCAACUCACAAAAGUACAAGGCCUGGAACCAGCUGCAAAGUUCCUAUGGAUCACUUGGCCAGAAACAGGUUCUAACUAUGUUGCCCAAGCUGGUCCUGAACCGCUAGCCUCAAAUAAUCCUCCUGCCUGAACCUACCAAAGCAUUGGUAUUACAAGUUUGACCCACCGUGAUCUGUCCAGAGUGGGAAAUAGAAUCUUAACAACUAUCACAUGAACUUUGAGGGUAUCCUUCUCCAGAUGAGCCUUCAGUUGAGACCUCAGCCUUGGACAUCAUCUGCACCUGGAUUCCUGACCCAGAGCAACUGCAUGCAUAUGUUAUCCCAGCUUCUGGGGAGGCUGACUUGGGAGGAUUGCUUGAGCCCAGGAGUUCCAAACUGAAGUGAGCCAUGAUUGUGUCACUGCACUCCAGCUUGGGAAACAGAGGGAGACCAAGACUCAAAAAAAAAAACUGGCCUCAGAAGGAAUUUUAUGGAACCUUGUAUUCUGUUGAAUACCAGAAUUAUAUCAGCAAUCCCAAAGUCACCAAAUGGGCAUCAUCAUGACAGCAGAUGAGGAUAACUGUUACGUGGUGUUAUUUGAGCAUUUGUGAUUGAAGAAAACUAACUUCUUUAAGCCCAUACUUUAUUACUUGAGACAUGACAGCUUCAUUUAAGGUUCCUAUUUUAAAACAUGGUGAGUGUUUCCAUUUAUUUCAUUUGAACUGGAGAUACUAUCUCACUUACGUAACUUGUCAAAUCCCUUUUUAUCUUCAUUUCAAUGCAUGUUUUCUAAUCUAUCAUGAUGAAGAGUGUGAAGAUUGUGCUUCACCAAACCAGGAAGCAAUUAAAAAAAAACUAGAAUGGCAAGCCAUAAGUUAGAUAUAAGUAGAUGCAUGUAAGGUGUAACCCAUCUCAAUGUGGCAUAUCAGGGAGAUGGAGACUGGAGAGAUGAGGUUUAAAAGAAAACAGGCACUAAAUUCAAAGCUGUGCUAAAUGAUGUCACAGGCACAGAUGACAUCGUGUGGUGCUCCAAGUUCCCAAACAACCUCUCUGACAGCACAAAAAUUAUGAUUUCCCAUAAUAUACUAAGCUACCAGGUUUCAGAGUGGCUGUCCUGGACACUACAAUUUUCAAAAACUAUCACUGCAAACAAGCCAAAUUCCUAGACCUCUUCAUGAGGCAAGUACCUAACACUCUUUCUCCAUCCACACUUUAGACUGAUUGGAAGUCAGAGUUCAAUGGAUGGAUGGCUCGUAUAAUUGAGAUCAUGAUUUCAUGUUCCCUUUAUUCAGUCUUCCUGAAAUGUUAAAUCUAGGUCAGGGAAACAUUCAUCUAAUUCAUUACAAUUCUGCUUCCUCCUCAACAGAUUUCUAGGACCAUCAUUUUUUAAAUUAUUUCUACAUACAUAAAAUAGGGAUUUCAGUACUCCACUAAAAGCUCUCCAUUUUUAAUAGUUAGCAGUCCAUGGAGGGCAGGUCUUUGCAAACCUACCACUAAAACAUGAGGAAGCUGAACAGCUGAAGAUAGAGGCUGAUAUAACCAGUCUCUUAGAAAGAAACAUUUAGUAGGGAUUUAUGAACAGAUAUUUGAGUCUCACACAGGACUUAUAUACCAUGGGGAAGGAAUGUGUAGGAAAACUGAAGUCUACCUGUCAGGGAAAGGCAGAAAUGCCAUGUGAAUCUAAGCACAGGAUUUAUAGUCAUGGUGGUUCUGACCUAAGGGCAGGAUUUAGAGAAAAAUAAUGAUUUUCACAAGGAACAGUAGACACAAUAGAAAUCUUAUCCCCCAGUGUGCAUAUAAAGGAAAAAAAUAUUUAUACAGAAAGCUUAGAGGCAGUCCCAGAACAGGGGUUAAUCAGAAGUCAACAUGGUGAAUUAGCUUUCAAGAUUGAGUUGUUUUUGCCUCCACUGCUAGCUAGAGGGUAAAUGGAGUUGAUCAGCUUAUGUGAAAGUAUAAGUCUAUUUCUUCAAUAAUAUACCAUAAUACAGAAGAUGAGGCACCCCUGUUUCCAUGUAGUCAUUGGCAGUCAGGGAGAAAAAUGCCAUAUUCCAUUCCUCUUAUGAUACACAUGUAACUGAGUGCAGGUCCAGCUGUUCUAUGCAUGCAAAAGCAAUGACAAAGAGGACGUGCAGGGUCAAAGGAAAGUGACUUUAUUUUUCAAAUUCAGCAGUAGGGAAAUGGCUGGAUUACACCUCUAUAGACCAGUUCAAAAUUUUGGGCAGAGGGCAGGGGUUUAAAGAAAGGGAAGCGUGACGCAUUACAUGGGAGGCAUGCAGGUGAUGUGCAGAUUCAGGGAGUCUGUGUCUUACUCGAGACAGACUGAUACCAUCUUGAUAGUUCCAGGCUGUAGAUAUCCAUCCUGAGGCAAUCUUUAAGAGAGAGACAAUUCCACAGCUGGGCCUUUAUGUUUGGUUCAUUUUAAAUUAGCCUCUGGUAUUUUUUGACAGGCAUAUAGUUAGAUAAGUAUGCAUGGUGUGAGUUUAGCCAGCAUACAGUUAGGUAAAUGUGUAUAAGGCAUGGACGUGUACAGUGGGAAACCGAAGGGGGUGUGGUUCCAAAGUAUAUUUCAUGGUUCUACUUGAAGACUAAAGCAAUGGCUUCUGCAGUUUGCUUCAAGGUUACAUCUUGAGACUGGGAAGAAAAAAAAGGAGAAAGAAAAAACUUAAAUGUAUUUUGAAGCUAUAUGACUCAAUUACAAUCCUUCACCAUAAAAGACCAUUCCAUUUCCAAGGAAAGUGGCAACACAGUCCAUCUAGCUUCUUCCUGCUGAAAAGGGGCACAGUUAGAGGGUAUCAGAUUGGAAUCUGUUUACCUGGAGUUGGAAAUAUUCGUGGGUUCCCAGACUAAUGUGAGAAUGUGUUAGAGCAUUAUAGUGUGGGGAACCAAAAGUUUCUGGGAAAGUUUUUCCUGCAUCUCCAUACAGAUCUUGAAAAGUGACAAAAACUACAGCAACCAAACAGAACAGGGAGCAGAAUACCAAUUAUACUGUAUAUGAGAGUCUUCCAUGGACCUGGAAGUCGACUAAACCAUGAUAUUGUGGGAUCCUGGGAGAGGACAUUUAUAGCAGAAAUAUGAGUAUUCAGUGCAUGCAUAGCUUGGAUUAUAUCGUGAGAAUAAUCUGGUGUAUUUAUGCACCAUUCAGUCUUAAUGCACAAGUGUCCCACUGGGCUGCAGUUAGGAUAUCUAAGGCCAUGGGGUUCUAUACAGCCACUUGUCUAAUCUGCGAGUGUUUUCAGUGAGAAGGGUAAUGUUGGGUUAGGUGUUAUUACAGGCAGCAGCUCUAUACUUAGGUUAUCUACUUAUAAUUCUACAUCUAUGUUUGCUGUCUGGGAGGAAAAGACAGCUAGUGAGUAGAACCAACAGGGUGCCCAUUUUUGAUGGUGUUGUCUGUCCUUCACAUUUUCCCAGUCGUCAGGGAGAGAGUCCAGAUGGGACAGGAUGUGUCCUGGUAGGUAAGGGCACCCCAGGUGUAUCUGCCGGUCCAGCUGUAAGGUAAGUAAGACCAGCUAUGACUGCCUCAGACCCAUAGCUAACUCCAGGAGAAAGGAUAGGCCCCACCAUGUAGCUUGAUACUAUUUUGCCAUCCUAGCCACAUAUGAUUAGUCAGUUGAUGGGUUUGGCCACAUUACUAAGAGGUAACCAUCCCUUAGCCUGGCUGCUAGUGUGGGGUGUGUUGCUCUUGUGUUUUUGGAUGUGUAGAGGUGCAUGACCCAUUGCCUGAAUUUGCACCAUCAUCAGCCAUCCUAUGUUGUCAUGUACAGCAUAGUCUAUAGAGGGGGUGAUAUUAACCUGCUUAUGAGCCAGAUGGAAGAUAUGUUUCCAGGUUUCCCCAAAAGUGGAGCACUCAUGGUGAGUGGUACUGUAGUCAUA